UACGAAGGGUGCAAGCGUUACUCGGAAUUACUGGGCGUAAAGCGUGCGUAGGUGGUUCGUUAAGUCUGCCGUGAAAGCCCCGGGCUUAACCUGGGAAUGGCAUUUGGGACUGCAAGGCUUGAGUGCGGCAGAGGAGACUGGAAUUCCUGGUGUAGCAGUGAAAUGCGUAGAUAUCAGGAGGAAUACCGAUGGCGAAGGCAGGUCUCUGGGCUGACACUGACGCUCAUGCACGAAAGCGUGGGGAGCAAACAGG
rnacentral:rRNA from 1 species